AGGAUAGAGGCCUACCAUGGUGGUAACGGGUAACGGGGUGUUAGGGCACGACACCGGAGAGGGAGCCUGAGAAACGGCUACCACAUCCAAGGAUGGCAGCAGGCGCGCAAAUUACCCAAUCCCGACACGGGGAGGUAGUGACAAUAAAUAACAAUACGGGGUUCUUUCGGAUCUCGUAAUUGGAAUGAGUACAAUUUAAAUCUCUUAACGAGGAACAAUUGGAGGGCAAGUCUGGUACCAGCAGCCGCGGUAAUUCCAGCUCCAAUAGCGUAUAUUAAAGUUGUUGCAGUUAAAAAGCUCGUAGUUGAAUUUCGGGGUUAGUAGGUUGGUCAUGCCUCUGGUAUGUACUGGUCUCACUGAUUCCUCCUUCCUUAUGAACCGUAAUGCCAUUAAUUUGGUGUUGCGGGGAAUUUGGACUGUUACUUUGAAAAAAUUAGAGUGUUUAAAGCAAGCUAACGCUUGAAUACAUUAGCAUGGAAUAAUGAAAUAGGACGUUCGAUCUUAUUUUGUUGGUUUCCAGGAUUGACGUAAUGAUUAAUAGGGAUAGUUGGGGGCAUUAGUAUUCAAUUGUCAGAGGUGAAAUUCUUGGAUUUAUUGAAGACUAACUACUGCGAAAGCAUUUGCCAAGGAUGUUUUCAUUAAUCAGGAACGAAAGUUAGGGGAUCGAAGACGAUCAGAUACCGUCGUAGUCUUAACCAUAAACUAUGCCGACUAGGGAUCGGAUGAUGUAAU
rnacentral:rRNA from 1 species